GACGAACGCUGGCGGCGUGCUUAACACAUGCAAGUCGAGCGGAAAGGCCCUUUCGGGGGUACUCGAGCGGCGAACGGGUGAGUAACACGUGAGUAAUCUGCCCUUGGCUUUGGGAUAACCACCGGAAACGGUGGCUAAUACCGGAUAUGACGCGCCCCGGCAUCGGGGUGUGUGGAAAGUUUUUUCGGCCAGGGAUGGGCUCGCGGCCUAUCAGCUUGUUGGUGGGGGAAUUGCCUACCAAGGCUUCGAAGGGUAGCCGGCCUGGGAGGGUGACCGGCCACACUGGGACUGAGACACGGCCCAGACUCCUACGGGAGGCAGCAGUGGGGAAUAGUGGACAAUGGGCGGAAGCCUGAUCCAGCAACGCCGCGUGAGGGAUGACGGCCUUCGGGUUGUAAACCUCUUUCAGUACCGACGAAGCGCCGAUGAUGGUGGUGACGGUAGGUACAGAAGAAGCACCGGCCAACUACGUGCCAGCCGCCGCCGUAA
rnacentral:rRNA from 1 species